rnacentral:rRNA from 1 species
UGCCAGCCGCCGCGGUAAUACAGAGGUGGCAAGCGUUGUUCGGAUUUACUGGGCGUAAAGGGUGCGUAGGUGGUUCUGCAUGUCGGACGUGAAAUACCACGGCUUAACCGUGGAAGUGCAUUCGAAACUGCAGAGCUAGAGUGCAGGAUGGGAGAGUGGAAUUCUUGGUGUAGCAGUGAAAUGCGUUGAUAUCAAGAAGAACACCGGUGGCGAAGGCGGCUCUCUGGACCAGUACUGACGCUGAGGCACGAAAGCGUGGGGAGCAAACAGGAUUAGAUA